rnacentral:rRNA from 1 species
GAUGAACGCUGGCGGCGUGCCUAAUACAUGCAAGUCGAGCGAACAGACGAGGAGCUUGCUCCUCUGACGUUAGCGGCGGACGGGUGAGUAACACGUGGAUAACCUACCUAUAAGACUGGGAUAACUUCGGGAAACCGGAGCUAAUACCGGAUAAUAUAUUGAACCGCAUGGUUCAAUAGUGAAAGACGGUUUUGCUGUCACUUAUAGAUGGAUCUGGGCCGCAUUAGCUAGUUGGUAAGGUAACGGCUUACCAAGGCAACGAUGCGUAGCCGAACUGAGAGAGUGAUCGGCGACACUGGAACUGAGACACGGUCCAGACUCCUACGGGAGGCAGCAGUAGGGAAUCUGCCGCAGUGGGCGAAAGCCUGACGGAGCAACGCCGCGUGAGUGAUGAAGAUCUUCGGAUCGUAAAACUCUGUUAUUAGGGAAGAACAAAUGUGUAAGUAACUAUGCACGUCUUGACGGUACCUAAUCAGAAAGCCACGGCUAACUACGUG